GAUGAACGCUAGCGGAGGCUUAACACAUGCAAGUCGAGGGGCAGCAUAGGGUAGCAAUACUCUGAUGGCGACCGGCAAACGGGUGAGUAACGCGUAUGCAACCUACCCUGUACAGGGGGAUAACCCGGAGAAAUUCGGACUAAUAUCCCGUAAUAAUAUCCGGAGGCAUCUUUGGAUAUUUAAAGUUCCGACGGUACGGGAUGGGCAUGCGUAACAUUAACUGGUUGGUAAGGUAACGGCUUACCAAGGCUAUGAUGUUUAGGGGUCCUGAGAGGGUGGUCCCCCACACUGGUACUGAGACACGGACCAGACUCCUACGGGAGGCAGCAGUGAGGAAUAUUGGUCAAUGGGCGCAAGCCUGAACCAGCCAUCCCGCGUGCAGGAAGACGGCCCUAUGGGUUGUAAACUGCUUUUCCAGGGAGAGAAACUUACGCACGUGUUGCGUGACUGACGGUACCCUGGGAAUAAGCAUCGGCUAACUCCGUGCCAGCAGCCGACGGUAAAACGUAGCGUG
rnacentral:rRNA from 1 species